rnacentral:misc_RNA from 1 species
AGAAACUCUCAACCCCAUUCAAGUCUCCCCCACUUCCCAGAUUCCAUCACUCUUCUCGCUAGUCUACCAGUCCCACCAUCACUCCUCCACCAUGACCGCAAUCACUUUUCGUCCUACCACCGCCUCAGCCGUCGUUCGCUCUUCCCUCACAUCAUCAAAUCUUGGAAAACCCACAAAAGCCCUCUUCCCUUUCUCUAAACUGCCCUUCACUUUCAAACCCCUAAACCCCACCACCACUACGGCUCUUUCCACACUCCGAACCCUUACCCCGCUGAAAUCCACCUCCUCCGCCUCCGAUCUCUCCCCUAUUAACACUACCUCCGCUGACGAUUCCAUCUCCGUCGGCACCUCCUCUCUCAAAUCCUUAAAAUCUCGUCUCCGGAAUGGCGACACUCUCUAUGGCCUCUUCCUCCUUAGUUUCUCCCCUACUCUUGCUGAAAUUGCCGGCCUUUCUGGCUACGAUUUCGUUGUCCUCGACAUGGAGCAUGGUCCUGGUGGCAUUACGGAAGCCCUCAGCUGUCUCCGUGCGCUAGCCGCCACUCAAACUCCAGCGAUCAUCCGAUUACCAGAGAGCUGUCCUACAUGGGCAAAAAAAGGCCUUGGAUCUGGGCCCACAAGGGAUCAUGUUUCCGAUGAUCGAUAGUCCCAAAAUGGCAAAGAAAGCGGUGUCGUAUUGCCGGUUUCCCCCCGCCGGCAUCCGUGGAUCAGCGCACCCGGUGGUGAGAGCAUCGAGUUACGGGAUUGACGAAGGGUAUUUAAGUAAUUACGAAGACGAGUUGCUGAUCAUGUGCCAGGUAGAGAACGAAGAAGGCGUGAAGAAAGCUGAUGAGAUCGCAGCCGUUGACGGGGUUGACUGCAUACAAAUGGGGCCGUUGGAUCUGAGUGCAAGCAUGGGUUACCUUUGGGACCCGGGGCACAAGAAAGUAAGGGAGAUGAUGAGGGUAGCAGAGAAGGCAGUGCUGGGGUCCAACCCUGCGAGCGGAGGUGGGGCCUACUUGGCAGGGUUUUCAUUGCCGCAUGAUGGGCCCACUAAUAUGAAAUCACGUGGAUAUCACAUGGUAUCAGGUGCAGUUGAUGUGGGGUUGUUUAGGAGUGCUGCUGUGGAAGGUGUGAAGAGCUUUAAGAUGAGUUUGGUUGAAGGGUCCGAUGACGACGGGGAGGGCGGUAAAGAAUCUGCUGAUGAGAAGUACUGGAGCGAAUAAUUUCUUUUUUUUUUUUUUUUCGAAUUUAUUAGCUAAUGAUAUCGAUUUUGCUUCUCUAGAUUUCGCUAGAUGUGAGUGAAUUUGUUUAUCUUUGAACUUCAAUGCAGAGAUUGGAAAACCUCGCUUUCUUGUGUCAAUUAAAGGUUGGUUAAUCAGUCUUUGGUUAAUUAGAAAUUAUAUUACUAUGGACUUAACCCUCGGGUUUGGAUAUAGUUUAGUAAUUAA